UCCAGCGGUAAGUCAGCUGUCCAGGGUGUUUCUGUUCCUGUGACAGUGUUACGCUGCUGGGAGAUUAAUGUUCUGUCGUUUAAAUCUGGUUGCCAUUGUCACCGUUCUGGUAACUUCUGGAACCAGCGCAGGGCAGAACUCUGCCUUUUGAGAGUGUGCUAAACAUGUACACUGGCUGUUUAGUGCUAGUCUGGGGGCAGACAUA